rnacentral:tRNA from 1 species
GCCUUCGUGGUGUAAUGGUCAGUACACUGGGUGCAUAUUCGAGAGGUCUGAGGUUCGAGUCCCGGCAAGGGCA